rnacentral:misc_RNA from 1 species
AAAGUCAAAAUGGGCUAAAACUUCCCGGGCAAAAAUUGGACAAACCGCUCGACGGAUUUCGGUGUUCUUGGUGUCUAUGGAAAGUUCUCGACGAGUAGAUGAGUUUAGACACAAGACCCGGUCCGAUUGGUGGCUGGAUCGGCCGGAUUUUAGCCGGGAAGACGUACGGUCGCGCACGCAAGGGAGGGGCGUUCGCGCGAGUUUUCCGGCCGUUUGGGGCUGCGGUCGGCCGUGGGAAAGAGGUGGGGUGGCGCGUCGGUGAGCUGGGGUGGCGGGGGAGGUGGCUGGCCGGCUGGCUAGGGGGGAGGAGAGAGAAAACGGGAGAAAGAGAGAAGGAGGAGGAGACGCGCGCGGGAGAAAAAGAAGGAGGAGAGGGAGCCGGUCCGAUUCGACCGG